UACGAAGGGAGCUAGCGUUGUUCGGAAUCACUGGGCGUAAAGCGCACGUAGGCGGAUUUGUCAGUCAGGGGUGAAAUCCCGGGGCUCAACCUCGGAACUGCCUUUGAUACAGCAAGUCUUGAGUUCGAGAGAGGUGGGUGGAAUUCCUAGUGUAGAGGUGAAAUUCGUAGAUAUCUGGAGGAAUACCGGUGGCGAAGGCGGCAUCCUGGACCGACAUUGACGCUGAACGGCGAAAGCUAGGGGAGCAAACGGG
rnacentral:rRNA from 1 species